AAGUCGUAACAAGGUCUCCGUUGGUGAACCAGCGGAGGGAUCAUUACUGAGUUACCGCUCUACAACCCUUUGUGAACAUACCUAACUGUUGCUUCGGCGGGCAGAGGUUCCCUCGCGGAACCCCUCCCGGUGACGCCCUCACGGGCGUCGCGCCCGCCGGAGGAUACCAAACUCUAUUUUAACGACGUUUCUUCUGAGUGGCACAAGCAAAUAAUUAAAACUUUUAACAACGGAUCUCUUGGUUCUG
rnacentral:misc_RNA from 1 species